UGUCUUUCCUAAUGUCUUAAUUCGGUCCUCAGUUAAACUGGCGGUGGGCGCUGCUUUUUUUCCAGGGAAGGAUUCUGGAAGACAUAGGAGGAGACGCCAGCAUUUCGCCCUCCAGCACCUCCUGCGGGCUGUGGUCCGCUUCCGGCCUCACUCGAGCAGACCCCGCCCUCCCAGAGGCCGUUUGUCCAAGUCACGUGAUCGUCGAAUCUGUUGACCUGGCGCCACCGGAAAAAGAAAUUCCCGGGCCCUGGCUUCUUGGCCUGAUGGUGAGGCACCAGAGGUGCUAAAGUGGAGGGCCUCCCAUGGGGUGUUCAGCCUGGGUGUGUAGAAGCACACAGUGUGGUACAGAGGACCCUCUCCAGACAGCUGCCUCCCACCAACCCUAGAAAUGAUGCUGGGAGCUGACAGAAACUGAACUUAGGAGCACAGGAGGCCAGGAGACCUGGGACAGAGAACAGGAGGUGACCCCUCAUGCUGCUGCUCCCUCUGCUGAAACCCAAACUGCAAACCUCUCCUCUCCCUGCCUUCACCUUGCCCCACGGCUUCCACAGACAGUGCCUCAACCCCGAGGAAUGAAUCCGAAGUUCCAACACCACUGACUUUCCCAGGAACUCAGAGCCAGAGAGGGCCAAGGACCAGCUCGAGGACACACAGCCAGGGCUUCUUCCCUCCGAAACCCCCAAGGACUGGACUUGCAGGGCUGGGACAGAGGUGGGGUGGGGGAAAGCAAUGCCUUGUCAACCCACGUGGGGAGCCCCACUCCCAUCCCCAAGGUGCAUAAAGUUGAGGAACACCCCUGCU
rnacentral:lncRNA from 1 species